rnacentral:rRNA from 1 species
CAGCCGCCGCGGUAAUACAUAGGUGACAAGCGUUGUCCGGAAUUAUUGGGCGUAAAGGGCUCGCAGGCGGUUUCUUAAGUCUGAUGUGAAAGCCCCCGGCUCAACCGGGGAGGGUCAUUGGAAACUGGGAAACUUGAGUGCAGAAGAGGAGAGUGGAAUUCCACGUGUAGCGGUGAAAUGCGUAGAGAUGUGGAGGAACACCAGUGGCGAAGGCGACUCUCUGGUCUGUAACUGACGCUGAGGAGCGAAGGCGUGGGGAGCGAACAGGAUUAGAUACCCCCGUAGUCCCUGUCUCUUAUAC